UUCCUGCAAAAUUUGCAGUUUCACUAGGCAGGUGCCAAACUCAGUCCCCCAACGAAGACAAGGCUGCUGCAACUCCAUGUCUUCAGGUCCCAUCAGUUAGUGAAGCUGAGCAUGUAUUCUCAGUAGACACACACACAAACACAACUAUACAACAUGUUUGUACACACACUAGUGUGUAACACUGGUUACACACAACCACACAUAUAACACAGACAGACACGCUCAGUACUCACACAAUCAUGACCACUGGCCCCAUCCAACUCCCCUUUCUGUCUGAACAGGACAGAAGUGUACUGCAGAAAUAUAUGCACAUGAUGAGUCCACGUAUCCACUGGAUUCAGACAUUCCAUUGUCCCAUAGUGGCCCCUGAGUCCUAGUCCCCUCAACUGUUGGCACCUGGACAUACAAACCCCCAGGUGUGCAGCCCCACUUCAGUUGCUGCUAUAGGUGCACACCCCUCCAGCUGAUCUUGUCCUCAGUCCACAGACUCUAUGGUCCCUUUGACAGCAGGGCUCCCCUCAUCUCUUCUGCAGCCAGGUCCUCCUGUUACCUCACCCUUGGAGACACACACACCUGGCUUGCUCCCAGGCACUGCACGUACUUGCCACCAUGGGCACAUGAAACUUUGAUCCCCAUUCCCACUCCAGAGGCCGGCGUUUGCUUUUACUCAGUUCUCUCCAGAAUGUGUCACCCAGGCAUGCUUGGAACAGAUUCCAUCCCUAAACAUCCCAUAAUGCAUCAUGUGCAAUCUCAAAAUGCUCUUCAGCUGCAUCCCAUAUUGUGACCUAAGCUGCUAGGCAGUAUCCCUCCUGAAAGUUGCUUCUGUUGACUCAUUUUGAUGGGUUUCACACCUGGACACUGGAGCUGACACUCUUCUGGGACAGCCCUGGGAGAUGUCUGCUCACCUGAGUCUGUAACUUGGAUUUCUCAUCUUACCAUCAAAUCUCUGUGUUUGUGUACAUGGGCCUUUGAUGGACUGAGCUCUCCUGAGAUGGGCUUACAAGUGGCCAGGGGGUAUUAGGAAAGUAGAUUGUUGGACAUGACUGAAAAAAGUAACUUGGUGGUGCAUACUAGACAAAUCCUUGCCAAUACAUAUAAGAAACUGAGGACAAAAUGCUGAAAGGCAUGGAACUUCAACAGUAUUGAGUGUCAAGCUGUGAGAGAAGGCUGUCUAGAGAGUGGAUACUCCCAUUACUGAGACCCCAGAAGAUGCAAUGCUUUUAAGGAGAGGAUUCAUGGCUUUCUUAGUGCUUCAAAAAGAGAGGUUGCACAAGAUAUCAUUUCGAGAGGAUGGAAAAAGGGGUUUGGAAAUUACAUCCCACAAAGACAAGAGGCUGGAAAGGAGUCUCUAUCUAUUGAGAAUCAUAGAAUAGUUAGGUUUGAAAGGAGCUUAAGAUUACCUAGUUCAAAUCCCCCUGCCAUGGACAGGGACACCUCACACUAAA